CACGUAGGGCGCAAGCGUUGUCCGGAAUUAUUGGGCGUAAAGAGCUCGUAGGCGGUCUGUUGCGUCCGCUGUGAAAACUCGGGGCUUAACCCCGAGCCUGCAGUGGAUACGGGCAGACUAGAGGUAGGUAGGGGAGAAUGGAAUUCCCGGUGUAGCGGUGAAAUGCGCAGAUAUCGGGAAGAACACCCGUGGCGAAGGCGGUUCUCUGGGACGGUACUGACGCUGAGGCGCGAAAGCGUGGGGAGCAAACGGG
rnacentral:rRNA from 1 species